rnacentral:misc_RNA from 1 species
CUUACAAAUUCCAGAGUUCAUCAAGCAAUUCUUAUAAAUUCCAGAGUUUAUCCAGUAAACAUAGUCUUCAAGGUCGAAAUCCAAAGCUAAGAAGAGUUUCAAGCAUGGAACUUUAACAGGGGCACUACUAACUAUUUAAUCAAUCAGAAGCAUUUCACAUGCAGGACACAAAUUGUGCAUGUAUUGUUAUUGAUAUCAGACCACUCAGCAGAUAAACUGAGGAUCCAUAUCAGUCAGUUCAUCCUUUCUACAGCUCAACGAUUGCCAACUCACUCAAAACAACCAUUCCAGGUUGGCACAACCAAUAUUUAAAUCCAAAUAAAUCCCACAUAUUCAAUCAUAAGACACUAGUACAAAAUUUAUCUUACACAACAAAAUGAGUAACAGAAAUUUCAAAUCCUCAGCUCGGACAACAAAGAAGACCACCCAAAAAAUUCUGACCUGAGGUAGCCCAUCAACAAUGCAGAAGGUCGCUACUCUCCAGUUAACAUUGCCUUUAUAAUCUUAUCGGACAUCCCAUCGAUGAAAGGAAAAAAGUGCCCAGAACCAGGUAACUCAUGAUAAUGAAUCCAGGGAAGUUGUCGAGUAAUGUAGCGCUGCAACUUAAUAGGAACCAAACGAUCUUCAUCUCCUUGCCAUAGAUGAACAGAAGCUUUGUUGUUUGGGAAUGGAUUAUCCAGAUCCAUAGGAUCUAAUUCCCAGGUGCCAAAUGCAAACAUCAUGUCACGAUGGUAGGAUUCAUAUUCUCCUUGCUGUAUCACAUGUUCCUGAGAGGCCACAAAUAAUAGGUAGAGGAAUAAAAUAAACCUAAAAUCUUUUAAAAAAUAACAGGUAGCAGAAGUUAUAGAAUAUUAACUCUGCUAUCAUGCUAACCAAAGUGUGUGUUUCAACAUUCAAAGUACCCAAAAAAAAAAAAAAUCCUAAUUUCAUCUACAUGAAAAAUAAACUAAAACUCAUUGCAAGAUAUCAAAGAUCUAAUAGCUUAGUUGGUUAUCAAUCUUGAUGCUUUUUCAAAAAAUCUGGUUAAUGCGUUUUAGACUUGGCCAGGGGCCAGUUCAGGCCUAGGUCAAACCCGGAACCAGACUGGGUUGAGGGUUCAAGGGCCUGAACUGGAACUGGACCGGAACCUGCAGUUUGAACAGCUGGUUCUGGCCCGGUUCAAACCAUAUUACAAAAAAAUUGGUGGUGGCUUUAGAGGGUGCCACAUGGACCAAACCAUUGAACCCGACUGGAACCGGGUAGAACAGUGUGGCCUGGACUGUUGGCCAGGCCUAAUGUGCAUAGAAGUUACAAACUUCACCAAUAACUAGAGUUUGGCUUGGUUACCCACUGACAAAGUCAGUAAACAGACCUAGAAUUUGUCAAGUGCUGCUCUAAACAAGAGGUGAGAUGGGAGAUCCUCCUAGUAACAGAUACUAUUACAGUCCUAUGUUAGGAAAAUAAACUCCAAGACUCAAAAGAACAAGAUGAUUACUUUUUCAUUUGCAAGUAUGAACUUUAAGAAGCAGUAAGAUAAUUAUUUAGGCCUGUACAUGGGUCAGUUCAAACGGUUAAGCAUAGAAUGCCAUACCGAACCAAUCUCAUCAGCAUUAGAAAUUUCAAACCACUAUCCAUAAAAACAAGAAAAGUGAUUUUAUUGGAUACAUCAGUUUUGGAUUUGAAACUUGGUUUCAAUAUCAUCCCUGGCAAAACAAUAUUAUAAAAAGAAAAAUAGAAGAACUAAAUCAGCAGUAUAUAAAACCAUUGAUAAAAGGCAAAUUAUCAAUUUAAGAAAAAACAAUUAUCACAUUUGAGAACCAAUCAAAUUCAUGUUGUCACUCAUAAAAUAAAUCAAAGCACAUUUCUUGUGAAUUUCCAGAAUUCUUAUGAUAUUAUUAACAAAAGCAUAUAAAGAGAAAAUGGAAAACGCCACAUGCAAACCAAAUUUAGCAAUCUCAUAUCCUUGUAAUGCCUGGAAGAUCUCUAAAUUGUCAGCACAUCAAGUUUCUCAUAUCAAAAUGGAGACCACCACAUUGAAGUGCCAUCAAGAUUAUGGGGAAUUAGAUAAUUUAGCUGAGAGAAGAGGGAAAGGACUCAUGAUAGAUUUGAAGAAAGGAGACACUGCGGCUGCAAAUUGGACUUACUAGAGAAGGGGUUGUACAUCAAGAUUAUUAUAUACAACCACAAAAUGGUGAGUUUUGAUUAUAUAAUUAGAUACAUGGAUUAGGUCGGGUUGGUUUUCAUGACUCAUUAUUUUUUAGAACUCAAACUGAAGCAGAAGGAUAAUCGGCUUGGGCUUUCUAAAACCAGAACCGAAUCAUAUUAAUGAAAACCCAUUGAUUUUGGUUUAGUGAUGCAGUUUCAUCGGGCCCAUCAGUUUAUGUAGGUUCUGGUUUACACAUUCAUUGAUAUAAAAUGGUAUUAGAAAAUCUAUAACACCACAAAAAGUGGCCAGAUGAACUGGCUGGAUGGGCAUAUUUUCCCUGGUUAUGUCCUUCAUCCUCCUCCUCUAAUUCUCAUAUUCCUUCUAUGGGUACAAGAUGAAAAACAAUACUAUCUUGAACAUAAUGAGUUCCAAAAUCAAAGCAUGGCUGAUGAGUAAUGCACUUUGGGCCAGGAAAUUCAACUCUAGUUCAUAAUCAAGUGUAAAUCAGAUAGCAUGAACAAAACUAACAAGUUAGGGUGAAGAAAGAGAUACCAGCACUGCAGAGAAAUCUGCUCCCUCACAUGCAUAAUACAUGAUAUCCUAUUCGCCGUUGUUACAAUUAGUGCUAUCAGUCGGCUAAUUUUUCAGGUCUAGGCAUCCUUUCAGUCUCUAUACAUCCAUUUUUUGCUUUGAGCCAUAUGUUUCAAGUACAAUAUGCAAGACAUACAGCAAAAGAAUUCUCAUAUACAAUUUCCAGUAGAAAAACUAAGGACUAUGAUUUUGCCUCAAAGAGCAUAAAAGGUAAAGAUUCAAGAAACCAGAGAGAGAGAGAAAG